UGGGGAAUAUUGCACAAUGGGCGAAAGCCUGAUGCAGCAACGCCGCGUGAGUGAUGAAGGCCUUCGGGUUGUAAAGCUCUGUCUUUUGGGACGAUAAUGACGGUACCAAAGGAGGAAGCCACGACUAACUACGUGCCAGCAGCCGCGGUAAUACGUAGGUGGCAAGCGUUGUCCGGAUUUACUGGGCGUAAAGGAUGCGUAGGCGGAUUUUUAAGUGAGAUGUGAAAACCCUAAGCUUAACUUGGGGACUGCAUUUCAUACUGGAAAUCUAGAGUGCGGGAGAGGAGAAUGGAAUUCCUAGUGUAGCGGUGAAAUGCGUAGAGAUUAGGAAGAACACCAGUGGCGAAGGCGAUUCUCUGGACCGUAACUGACGCUGAGGCAUGAAAGCGUGGGUAGCAAAACAGGAUUAGAUACCCUGGUAGUCCACGCCGUAAACGAUGAGUACUAGGUGUAGGAGGUAUCGACACCUUCUGUGCCGCAGUUAACACAAUAAGUACUCCGCCUGGGGAAGUACGAUCGCAAGAUUAAAAACUUAAAUGAA
rnacentral:rRNA from 1 species